AUGGAGCUGCUGUCCAACCGCCCGGCGCACGCCUCCGUGCCGGACAAGUACGUCUUCCCGCCGGAGAAGCGCGCCGCCCUGCUCGACGACGCGCCCGGCUCCGACGUCGCGCUCCCGGUCGUCGACCUCCAGCGCGCCGCCCUCUCCGAUCCCGGCCGCCGCCGCCUUGUCGCCGAGGAGAUCGUCAAGGCCGGCAAGGAGUUCGGCUUCUUCCAGGUGGUGAACCACGGCGUGUCGGAGGACGUGGUGCGGGGGUUCCGGGAGGCGUCGGCGGAGUUCUUCGCGAUGCCGGCGGAGGAAAAGCUGCCCUACUGCUCCGACGACCAGAGCAAGCCCUUCCGCGUCGCCUCCAGCACCUCCUACGACCGCAACCAGACGCGCUACUGGCGUGACUACCUCAAGCUGCGGUGCCACCCGGUCUCCGACGAGCUCGUCGGCCACUGGCCGGCCAAGCCGGAGAGCUUCCGGAGCUCCCUCGCCGAGUUCUCCGCACAGGUCCACGAGCUGGCGCAGACGCUGCUCCUGCUCAUCGCCGAGGGGCUGGGCCUCGACGGCGGCUUCUUCGCGGGCGACCUCAGCGGCGGGGACACGCAGAUGAACGUCAACUACUACCCGCCGUGCCCGGACCCGAGCGUCACGCUGGGCCUGCUCCCGCACUGCGACCGCCACCUCCUCACCGUGCUCUCCCAGGGCGACGUCGCCGGGCUCCAGGCCAGGUACCGCGGGCGGUGGAUCCUCGUCCGCCCGGUGCCCGGCGCCUUCAUCAUCAACUUCGGGCACCAGAUGGAGAUCGUCACCAACGGCGUGCUGGCGAGCGUGGAGCACCGCGCCCUCACCAACUCCGCCGUGGCCAGGAUGUCCGUGGCGACGCUCAUCAUGCCCAAGAUGGACUGCCUUAUCGGCCCGGCGCCGGAGAUGGUGAGCGAGGAGAACCCGGCCAAGUUCAGGGAGUUCGUGUUCAGGGAGUUCAUGGCGGCGUACGACACCGCCGCUGCUAGCAGGGAGGACGUGCUGGAGUACUUCAGGAUCGAAGAUCACUAG
rnacentral:rRNA from 1 species